rnacentral:lncRNA from 1 species
GAAUCUUGUCCACAGUUCUUAGAAUGACUGAGGACGAGUGGAUUUCAUUUCCUUUUGAACAGAUCUAUAUCCCUAUCAUGGCCUGUGUCCUGUUGCUGUUCUGCUGCUCUAUACUGUUCAGAGGGUGCUGUAAGAAGGUAGCAGCUCAGACAAGCUCCUCAGAGAAUGCGGCAGUUUACGUCAUUCCUCUCCAACAAGACGACUCACCCCUCAACACACCCUUCCCUACGUAUGACUUCUCCAGCCCUCCACCAUAUGACGAGGUUGCUAUGAAGCCCUACAUGUUUCCUUUCCCUGAAGGUCCUCCGCCACCCUACUCUGAGGACGGACCCCCUCAGUCCCCAGUAUUGCAGCUCAGGCGCACAUCCAACCUCUGAGAGGCCCCAGGGGCCAAAGCGCUGUGUUUCCACUGGGCCCUGGCCCACCCCAAAGCAUGGUGGGUCUGGACUGACUGCACAGAGAAAUGCGGCCUCUCUUGUCCACUCUAUUAUGGAAAAUAGCACUGCACCACAACAGGAAGUAAGACAUUUCCACACAGCACUGAGGACUGCUUUUCUGCUUUGUUGUCAAACCAUUCCAAGUAUUAAAUACAUCCAUAAGAUCUCUCUCUCACUUAGAAUCGCAUCAAGUAGCCCGAUCACGGCUCCAUAAAUGCUAUGACAUAUAUAUGGCUUGGAAAAUAAUACUUAAUGGUGUUCCAGCCAUCAGAGGAGCAGGAAGUGAUGGAAUGCCAGUAGCUGCUGUGCCCGGAUCUACCCUGCCAUAUCACAUGACCUCACAUUCCUUUGCAUUCGUGAUAUAAGGACUCCAGUACUGCCCAGGCACUUAGUGAGACUGCUUUUGCAAACCCAGUGGAAACAUGCUGCUAGUGUCCUGAAGCUCACAAAGAGGAGGCUGCACUUUGCUACAAACAGCUUGUUCUGACAAAAAGGAGGGAAUGGAGGCUAUAUAGAUCAGUCCAGUUCUCACCUAAAUAACCAGGACCAUCGCCACAGUAUAGCCACUGCAAGGAACCCAGACUGGACUACAGAGCAUGCCUUUCUGAUGGGUCUGAGGCACGGACGCACCCUGAAAUCAAUCUCUG